GGACACUUAGCUCAAUGGUUAGAGUGCCGCUUUUACAUGGCGGAGGUUGUAGGUUCAAUCCCUACAGUGUCCACCA
rnacentral:tRNA from 1 species